UACGGGGGGGGCAAGCGUUGUUCGGAAUUACUGGGCGUAAAGGGCUCGUAGGCGGCCAACUAAGUCAGACGUGAAAUCCCUCGGCUUAACCGGGGAACUGCGUCUGAUACUGGAUGGCUUGAGGUUGGGAGAGGGAUGCGGAAUUCCAGGUGUAGCGGUGAAAUGCGUAGAGAUCGGGCGGAACACCAGCGGCGAAGGCGGCAUCCUGGCCCUAUCCUGACGCUGAGGCGCGAGAGCGUGGGGAGCAAACCGG
rnacentral:rRNA from 1 species